rnacentral:RNase_P_RNA from 1 species
CGGGCAGUCGCUGGCAUUAUGCCAGAGGAAAGUCCAUGCUCGCACGUUCUGCGAUGAACGUAGUGUUUGUGCUAGUCCAAUCAAUAAGGCCAGGCACCCGCAAGGGUGACGGCGGUACUGAAACCUAAAGAGCAAUCCAUGGUGGAAGACCCUAAGGUGUCACAGUGACGAAGCUGCCUUGGAAACAGGGCAGGUGGAACGCGAUAAACCCCGCAAGCGAGAAACCCAAAAUCAGGUAGGGGAAUCAUCCAAAGUGAAAUGAAACCGAGGAUGGCUGCAAUGCAGAGAUAAAUGGCUGCCACACCGCAAGGUGGACAGAACAUGGCUUAC